CCCGGCCAGGGGCCGCCCGGCGCUGUCCUGCCCGGCUCGCUUCUCCUGGCAGCAGACGGCGCCGCGGCCGUAACUCCGAUAGAUCCCUUCCCCCUCCCUUGGAUGUCAAUUAUUUCUGCAAGAAAUUUCCAAGAGAGUUGUGGCUUCCUCCCUGCUGGAUCCUGUUGGCCACACAGAUUUUGACCCUAUUGAGAUGAAGAGAAGUGUGAAUUACAAGAUACCUCCACUUUGAUAGUAUUUUGGUAGUAGCUGGUGUCUUCAGUGAUGUCUCCCAACUGAAGUAGAUGGGAAGGAUGAUUUUUAUAUCACACAUUUUAUGCUGAAUUUUGCUGCCGUAAUGGCUGUACAUAAAUCCCAUGGGUUUUGUAUCAGUUUGCACUGACUGAUGUGUCGCACACACUUAUACUGCUGUAAGCUGACAACAUAAGUCCUGGUAGCAAGUUUCUUGGACUAGCAUACUGGUAUGUUUUGCUCUUUAGUGAAAAGACCUGGUUAAUUUUUAUUUAACUUUGCUACACUAACUUGGGUUGAAAUAAAGUUCAGACUUAACUUUG